AGCUAGCACCGGCGCCUCUGCCCCUCCCCUGCUCCGGACCCAGGCUCCCCGCCUUACCCCCCGCCCCCCCAGGGCGCCCCGAGGUCUCACCACGUCUCAGCCGCCCUUUGAUACAUGGGGGUUGUGCGGGGCGGGGGGCAGGGGACCCGCCCUCUCUCCAAACACUAGCAGGGCCGGGGCGCCUGGGCAGGCACGUGUCCGGGCACAACCCGCUGCCCACGCUGCCCCCCCACUCCCGCCCCCCCCGCUCUGGCCAGGACACGUCGCUCUCUUACUUGGGUGGGGUGGGAGGAGGGGAGAGAAAGCUGGAAAUGGAAAGCAGCGCCCCCCACCCCUCUGAAUGGCCAACCUCGGCCAGCGGUGCGCACUAGGUUUCUACCACACAGCGACCCCCACUCUGCUCAGGGCAGGUGCGCCGGCGCCGGCGGCAAGACCGCUGGUAGGUCGAGUUCUUAUCACCCACCCUCGCACUGGAGUUGUGAGAGCAAAAGCUGACUUUGAAAAGGUGGCGGUGGGCCUGAGGCUUGAGAGACCGGAAUGUGAUUGCGGAGCGGGAGGGGCAGAGGGGUCGUCCUGCUGAGCCGCACUACCGCUGGAGAGACGACGCGGCUCUGGAAGCGCAAGAAACCGAAUAGUCCAGCCGGAGUCUUACUAUAUCGCUCCUGCUGUUCUCCACCUCCGGGGAUCAAACUGCCCACGUCAGCUUCCGGAAUCGAAGGGAAGAUAGAUGUGUGUGUGCUACCCACCUGGCAAGCCCUAAAGUUGAGAUGUGGAAACGUGGGUGCACUGAAUGUCUGUUCUACUAAAGAGUGUUGUUCUUCUGACCUUGGGAUGAAUCGCUUCCCUUCUUGGGCCUGUUUAUUCAAGUUAAUGUGAAAUAAUCCCCUUUAACAUUAGUUAUCUUUCCUACUUUUGUUGUAGGGUUGUUUGUUGCUUGGUUCUGAGAUAGGUUUCACCACCACACUCCAGCCUGCCUACUUUUGAAGUUUACUUUUCCUCCUGAGCACACAGACACUCACUCAGGUGUGGAGGUCAGAGGACAGCUUGCACGAGUUGGUUCUCUCUUCCCAUCAUGUGUGUCCUGUCCUGGGGAUUGGAAUGAGGAGGCUUGACAGCAAGUGCCUUCAUCUACUGAGCCAUCUUGCCAACCCUAAAGUAUACUUUAAAAAAUAUACUCAGGAGGCAGAGACAGGCAACUCUUUGAGUUUGAGGCCAGCCUCAUUUACACAGUGAGUGGGACAGAGCUACAGCUUGAGACUUUUAUUUAUUUAUUUAUUUAAAAUGAUUUUCGGGCUGGAGAGAUGGCUUACCAGUUAAGAGCACUGGCUGCUCUUCCAGAGGUCCUGAGUUCAAAUCCCAGCAAUCACAUGAUGGCUCACAACCAUCUGUAAUGGGGUCUGAUGCCUUCCUCUGCUGUGUCUGAAGAAAGCAUACUCGCAUACAUAAAUAAAAUUAUGUAUAUAU
rnacentral:lncRNA from 1 species